CCCGUUGAACUCAAUGAUCCGGGCGGCGAUAUUCAGCGGUGGGCCUCCGGGCCUACCGUGCACUUAUCGAUCCGCAGCAAACGGACAUCGCGAUCCAUUGCGCAUCUGCGUGAGCAUAUCAUUCCGGCAAUAGGCCCCUGGCUCGUGGUGGACGGCUCCCUAGUAGGGGCGGCUUGGCGGCCGCUCCCAACGGGGGUCUCCGCGCCUUUCACACCCGAGAGGCGCGGGUCCGACCGAGUCUUGGUGCGCCGCUGGAAGCACGAUGGAACGUACGACCGGGGCUAGGGAGCAGCCUUGUAGCCGAAGGCCUAGAAGCACUCGACCCCCCGAUCGGCGAUGACGCACUAUGCAUUGAGGCACCUCCGGG
rnacentral:rRNA from 1 species